rnacentral:rRNA from 1 species
GACGAACGCUGGCGGCGUGCUUAACACAUGCAAGUCGAACGGAAAGGCCUGCUUUCCCUUGUGGAUUGCGGGUACUCGAGUGGCGAACGUGUGAGUAACACGUGAGUGAUCUGCCCCCAACUUGGGUAUAAGCCUGGGAAACUGGGUCUAAUUCCCGAUAGGACUGCAUGGUGGUGCCUGUGGUGGAAAACGAUUUUCUAGUGGUUGGGGAUGAGCUCGCGGCCUAUCAGCUUGUUGGUGGGGUAAUGGCCUACCAAGGCGGCGACGGGUAGCCGGCCUGAGAGGGUGGACGGCCACAUUGGGACUGAGAUACGGCCCAGACUCCUACGGGAGGCAGCAGUGGGGAAUAUUACACAAUGGGCGGAAGCCUGAUGCAGCGACGCCGCGUGGGGGAUGACGGCCUUCGGGUUGUAAACUCCUUUCGACCGCGAGGAAGCCACCUGGUUGGAAGGGUGGUGACGGUAGUGGUAGAAGAAGCACCGGCUAACUACGUG